UACGGGGGGGGCAAGCGUUGUUCGGAAUUACUGGGCGUAAAGGGCUCGUAGGCGGCCAACUAAGUCAGACGUGAAAUCCCUCAGCUUAACUGGGGAACUGCGUCCGAUACUGGAUGGCUUGGAUUUGGGAGAGGGAUGCGGAAUUCCAGGUGUAGCGGUGAAAUGCGUAGAUAUCUGGAGGAACACCGGUGGCGAAGGCGGCAUCCUGGACCAAUAUUGACGCUGAGGAGCGAAAGCUAGGGGAGCAAACGGG
rnacentral:rRNA from 1 species